rnacentral:rRNA from 1 species
CAGCCGCCGCGGUAAUACGGAGGGUGCAAGCGUUAAUCGGAAUUACUGGGCGUAAAGCGCACGCAGGCGGUCUGACAAGUCAGAUGUGAAAUCCCCGGGCUUAACCUGGGAACUGCAUUUGAAACUGUCAGGCUGGAGUCUUGUAGAGGGGGGUAGAAUUCCAGGUGUAGCGGUGAAAUGCGUAGAGAUCUGGAGGAAUACCGGUGGCGAAGGCGGCCCCCUGGACAAAGACUGACGCUCAGGUGCGAAAGCGUGGGGAGCAAACAGGAUUAGAGACCCCGGUAGUCCCUGUCUCUUAUAU